rnacentral:sRNA from 1 species
UGAAAACGGCAGUCGGCUAGGAUUGGGGU